UGGNGCUCAGUCAUCAACUUUAGGUGUCAGUU
rnacentral:piRNA from 1 species